rnacentral:rRNA from 1 species
CCUACGGGAGGCAGCAGUGGGGAAUAUUGCACAAUGGGCGAAAGCCUGAUGCAGCGACGCCGCGUGAGGGAUGACGGCCUUCGGGUUGUAAACCUCUUUCAGCAGGGAAGAAGCGAGAGUGACGGCACCUGCAGAAGAAGCGCCGGCUAACUACGUGCCAGCAGCCGCGGUAAUACGUAGGGCGCAAGCGUUGUCCGGAAUUAUUGGGCGUAAAGAGCUCGUAGGCGGCUUGUUGCGUCGGUUGUGAAAGCCCGGGGCUUAACCCCGGGUCUGCAGUCGAUACGGGCAGGCUAGAGUGUGGUAGGGGAGAUCGGAAUUCCUGGUGUAGCGGUGAAAUGCGCAGAUAUCAGGAGGAACACCGGUGGCGAAGGCGGAUCUCUGGGCCAUUACUGACGCUGAGGAGCGAAAGCGUGGGGAGCGAACAGGAUUAGAUACCCUGGUAGUCCACGCCGUAAACGUUGGGAACUAGGUGUUGGCGACAUUCCACGUCGUCGGUGCCGCAGCUAACGCAUUAAGUUCCCCGCCUGGGGAGUACGGCCGCAAGGCUAAAACUCAAAGGAUUGACG